rnacentral:rRNA from 1 species
AACGGCGAGUGAAGCGGCAAGAGCUCAAAUUUGAAAUCUGGCCUCCCCCGGGGGCCCGAGUUGUAAUUUGCAGAGGAUGCUUCGGGUGCGGCCGCCGUCUAAGUUCCUUGGAACAGGACGUCAGAGAGGGUGAGAAUCCCGUCUUGGGCGGGCGGUCCGCGCCCGUGUGAAGCUCCUUCGACGAGUCGAGUUGUUUGGGAAUGCAGCUCUAAGCGGGUGGUAAAUUUCAUCUAAAGCUAAAUAUUGGCCGGAGACCGAUAGCGCACAAGUAGAGUGAUCGAAAGGUUAAAAGCACCUUGAAAAGGGAGUUAAACAGCACGUGAAAUUGUUGAAAGGGAAGCGCUUGCGGCCAGAUUCGGGGGCGGGGUUCAGCGGGUGCUCGUCGCCCGUGUAUUCCUCGUCUCCCGGGCCAGCAUCAGUUUCGACGGCCGGUCAAAGGCCCCCGGAAUGUGUCGUCUCUCGGGACGUCUUAUAGCCGGGGUGCAAUGCGGCCCGUCGGGACUGAGGAACGCGCUCCGGCUCGGAUGCUGGCGUAAUGGCCGUAAGCGGCCCGUCUUGAAACACGGACCAAGGAGUCUAACAUCCACGCGAGUGUUCGGGUGUCAAACCCGUGCGCGCAGUGAAAGCGAACGGAGGUGGGAGCCCUAGGGCGCACCAUCGACCGAUCCUGAAGUCUUCGGAUGGAUUUGAGUAGGAGCGUGGCCGUUGGGACCCGAAAGAUGGUGAACUAUGCCUGAAUAGGGUGAAGCCAGAGGAAACUCUGGUGGAGGCUCGCAGCGGUUCUGACGUGCAAAUCGAUCGUCAAAUUU